rnacentral:rRNA from 1 species
UUACCUCAGUAACGGCGAGUGAAGCGGUAACAGCUCAAAUUUGAAAUCUGGCUCUUUCAGGGUCCGAGUUGUAAUUUGUAGAGGAUGCUUCGAGCAUGGUCUGGCCUAAGUUCCUUGGAACAGGACGUCAUAGAGGGUGAGAAUCCCGUAUGCGGUCAGGUGCCUACGCUCAUGUGAAGCUCCUUCGACGAGUCGAGUUGUUUGGGAAUGCAGCUCAAAAUGGGUGGUAAAUUUCAUCUAAAGCUAAAUAUUGGCCAGAGACCGAUAGCGCACAAGUAGAGUGAUCGAAAGAUGAAAAGCACUUUGGAAAGAGAGUUAAACAGUACGUGAAAUUGUUGAAAGGGAAGCGCUUGCAACCAGACUUGCGCGCGGCCGAUCAUCCGGUGUUCUCACCGGUGCACUCGGCCGUGCUCAGGCCAGCAUCGGUUUUGGCGGCUGGAUAAAGGCCCCAGGAAUGUGGCUCCUCUCGGGGAGUGUUAUAGCCUGGGGUGCAAUGCAGCCUGCUGGGACCGAGGACCGCGCUUCGGCUAGGAUGCUGGCGUAAUGGUUGUAAGCGGCCCGUCUUGAAGCACGGACCAAGGAGUCUAACAUCUAUGCGAGUGUUUGGGUGUCAAACCCAUACGCGUAAUGAAAGUGAACGGAGGUGAGAACCCUUAAGGGUGCAUCAUCGACCGAUCCUGAUGUCUUCGGAAGGAUUUGAGUAAGA